CCUACGGGUGGCAGCAGUGAGGAAUAUUGGUCAAUGGUCGUAAGGCUGAACCAGCCAAGUCGCGUGAAGGAAGAAGGAUCUAUGGAUUGUAAACUUCUUUUAUAAGGGAAUAAAGGUAGCCACGUGUGGCUAUUUGCAUGUACCUUAUGAAAAAGCAUCGGCUAACUCCGUGCCAGCAGCCGCGGUAAUACGGAGGAUGCGAGCGUUAUCCGGAUUUAUUGGGUUUAAAGGGUGCGCAGGCGGCCGGUUAAGUCAGCGUGAAAAGCCCGGGGCUCAACCCCGGCGAGCCGUUGAGACUGGCGGGCGGGAGUUGGAGAGAAGUACGCGGAAUGCGCGGUGUAGCGGUGAAAUGCUUAGAUAUCGCGCAGAACCCCGAUUGCGAAGGCAGCGUACCGGCUCCACACUGACGUUGAGGCACGAAAGCGUGGGUAUCGAACAGGAUUAGAUACCCGGGUAGUC
rnacentral:rRNA from 1 species